AUUUUUUCUUUUUUUAAUAUUUAAAUUGUAUUCAUGCAAAAAUUAAUGUUUUUAAUUUAACUUAAUUUCAGUCACGAAUAACUUAUAAGUUAUUAAGAAUUAAAUAUACUAAACAAUUAUUUAUUGUAAAUGCUCAUAAUUCUAAAAAUUGUAUUGUGUUUGAUGACAUGUGAUCAUCUAGUUUUGAGUAGUGUUGACCCCUUGGCUAUUCAGUUAGUAACUGGUCAGUAAGGUUUUGGGAGACUGUUUUGAAUUAAGUGCUGUAUACGAAUCAAAUAAUCCGAUGCAUAUACCAGUUUUUAAUAUUAACUGAUGACAGUUGGUAUUAAAUUCAAAGUUGGCCAUUAACUAGUUAGAAAUUUAAAGUUAGUUUUGAUUUUAAAUAGCAUUCUAACUUAACAAAUUAAAUUGUUUGUUUAAUCAAAUGUUGUUAAAAACAAAAGUAACCAGUUACUUAUUUUUUUAACCAUUCCAAAUCUUCCAAUUAUCAGUAAUACUGGUAGCUGG